GUGUUUUAUAGGUGUGUGUGUCUGGAGUCCUGACCAGGUGUGUGUUUUAUAGGUGUGUGUGUCUGGAGUCCUGACCAGGUGUGUGUUUUAUAGGUGUGUGUCUGGAGUCCUGUCAUGGUGUGUGUUUUAUAGGUGUGUGUCUGGAGUCCUGACCAGGUGUGUGUUUUAUAGGUGUGUGUCUGGAGUCCUGUCAUGGUGUGUGUUUUAUAGGUGUGUGUCUGGAGUCCUGACCAGGUGUGUGUUUUAUAGGUGUGUGUCUGGAGUCCUGUCAUGGUGUGUGUUUUAUAGGUGUGUGUCUGGAGUCCUGUCAUGGUGUGUGUUUUAUAGGUGUGUGUGUCUCGAGUCCUGACCAGGUGUGUGUUUUAUAGGUGUGUGUCUGGAGUCCUGUCAUGGUGUGUGUUUUAUAGGUGUGUGUGUCUCGAGUCCUGACCAGGUGUGUGUUUUAUAGGUGUGUGUAACCUUGGCUCUUCCUUUCCUGUGGCGUUCCUCACGAGAGACAGUUAACUCUAAUGAAUUUCUCCUCUGCAGCAGAGGUAACCUUGGCUCUUCCUUUCCUCAUGAGAGACAGUUAACUCUAAUGAAUUUCUCCUCUGCAGCAGAGGUAACCUUGGCUCUUCCUUUCCUCAUGAGAGACAGUUAACUCUAAUGAAUUUCUCCUCUGCAGCAGAGGUAACCUUGGCUCUUCCUUUCCUCAUGAGAGACAGUUAACUCUAAUGAAUUUCUCCUCUGCAGCAGAGGUAACCUUGGCUCUUCCUUUCCUCAUGAGAGACAGUUUCAUCACUUUAAGGUUUUUACGACUGCACUUUUUCCCACAUUGACUGACCUUCAUGUCUUAAUGAAAUGAGAGCCUGUCAUUUCUCUUUGCUUAUUUGAGCUGUUCUUGCCAUAAUAUGGACAUGGUCUUUCACCAAAUAAGGCAAUCUGCUGUAUACCACCCCCUACCAUGUUACAACACAACUGAUUGGCUCAAACGCCAAGGAGGAAAGAAGGAAUGAAAUUCCACAAAUUAAGUUUUAUGAAGGAUUUAUUUAACACUUUGUUGGUUACUACAUGAUUCCAUAUGUGUUAUUUCAUAGUUUUGAUGUUUUCACUGUUAUUCUACAAUGUAGAAAAUAGUAAAAAAGAAAAACCCUUGAAUGAGUAGGUGUUCUAAAACUUCUGACUGGUAGUGUGUAUAUAUAUAUUUGUGUGUAUAUAUAAAACAUGUAUUAACAACAAAUCUAACACAAUAUAAAAACAUAUCUUAUAAAACAGUAAAACAAAUAAUUUUGGUGUGGCAGAUAGCCUAGUGGUUAGAGCGUUGGGCCAGUAACUGAAAGGUUGCUGGAUCGAAUCCCUGAGCUGACAAGGUAAAAAUCUGUAGUUCUGCCCCUGAACAAGGCAGUUAACCCACUGUUCCCUGGUAGGCCGAAAUCAGAAUUGAGCUGCCUGUGUCAACGCAGCCUACAAGCUUCAAUAUGAGGUCCUAAACCUAGUAUGAAAGUGCAUCCUUGUAGAUAUGUGGGCUAACAUAGUCAAAAUGUUUGCCUUGGGGAAAGUUGAGCCAAUGGCAAGUUGAGCAAAUUGCAUUUUGUCUUCCCAGGGCAAAGCAUUAUCGCUGGGAUAUGAAGUAACAACAACCUGUGUUAAAUAAAGCUAAAAAUUAAACAUAUACAAAUAAAUAAUAAUGCUUGUGUUUGGGUAAUAAAUCUCUACAUGGUUUUAAAAAGGUAGUGGUAAUAUUGAAUUCAGUACAGAACGUUGUAGGCAGCUUAAUUUACC